rnacentral:sRNA from 1 species
GAAAAAACGCCGGGGAAGCCCCCGGCGUUUUUUGUUGGGACGGCAAGAGAAAUCAGCGGUCGAAAAUGGAAG